rnacentral:rRNA from 1 species
ACGGGGGGGGCAAGCGUUGUUCGGAAUUACUGGGCGUAAAGGGUUUGUAGGUGGCUUGUUAAGUCAGACGUGAAAUCCCUCGGCUUAACUGGGGAACUGCGUCUGAUACUGGCGAGCUUGAGUGCAGGAGAGGAACGCGGAAUUCCAGGUGUAGCGGUGAAAUGCGUUGAUAUCUGGAGGAACACGGGUGGCGAAGGCGGCAUCCUGGACCGGCAUUGACGCUGAGGCGCGAAAGCCAGGGGAGCAAACGGGA